GGCCUCGUAGCUUGGUGGUAGAGCGCUCCUCUAGCUAAGGAGAAGAUCCAGGUUCGAAUCCGGGUGGGGUCG
rfam:Colletotrichum gloeosporioides Nara gc5 unplaced genomic scaffold scaffold548, whole genome shotgun sequence.